UACGUAGGGUGCAAGCGUUGUCCGGAAUUAUUGGGCGUAAAGAGCUCGUAGGCGGUUUGUCGCGUCUGCUGUGAAAACGCGAGGCUCAACCUCGCGCCUGCAGUGGGUACGGGCAGACUAGAGUGCGGUAGGGGAGAUUGGAAUUCCUGGUGUAGCGGUGGAAUGCGCAGAUAUCAGGAGGAACACCGAUGGCGAAGGCAGCUCUCUGGCCUAUAACUGACGUGAGGUGCGAAAGCGUGGGGAGCGAACGGG
rnacentral:rRNA from 1 species